rnacentral:rRNA from 1 species
CCUACGGGUGGCAGCAGUGAGGAAUAUUGGUCAAUGGACGAGAGUCUGAACCAGCCAAGCCGCGUGCAGGAUGACUGCUCUAUGGGUUGUAAACUUCUUUUAUAUGGGAAUAAAUUGUUCUACGUGUGGGAUUUUGUAUGUACCAUAUGAAUAAGGAUCGGCUAACUCCGUGCCAGCAGCCGCGGUAAUACGGAGGAUUCGAGCGUUAUCCGGAUUUAUUGGGUUUAAAGGGAGCGUAGGUGGAUGGUUAAGUCAGUUGUGAAAGUUUGGGGCUCAACCGUAACAUUGCAGUUGAGACUGGCAGUCUAGAGUACAGUAGAGGUAGGAGGAAUGCGUGGUGUAGCGGUGAAAUGCAUAGAGAUCACGAAGAACACCGAUUGCGAAGGCAGUUCACUGGACUACAACUGACGCUGAGGCUCGAAAGUGUGGGGAUCAAACAGGAUUAGAUACCCCAGUAGUC